rnacentral:rRNA from 1 species
GACGAACGCUGGCGGCGUGCUUAACACAUGCAAGUCGAACGGUGAUCUUGAGAGCUUGCUCUUGGGUGAUCAGUGGCGAACGGGUGAGUAACACGUGAGUAACCUGCCCCUGACUCUGGAAUAACUUCGGGAAACCGAAGCUAAUACCGGAUAUGACACAGAGCCGCAUGGUUUCUGUGUGGAAAGUUUUUCGGUUGGGGAUGGACUCGCGGCCUAUCAGCUUGUUGGUGAGGUAAUGGCUCACCAAGGCGACGACGGGUAGCCGGCCUGAGAGGGCGACCGGCCACACUGGGACUGAGACACGGCCCAGACUCCUACGGGAGGCAGCAGUGGGGAAUAUUGCACAAUGGGCGAAAGCCUGAUGCAGCGACGCCGCGUGAGGGAUGACGGCCUCGGUUGUAACGUACUUCUAGCAGGAGAAGACGAAGUAGACGGUAACCGUGCAGAAGAAGACACCGGCGUAACUACGUACGCCGACGCACGCCGCGGUAACGAGUACUACG